AUGGUUGCUUCUAAGGAGUCUUUAAACGCUUCUGUAGAUACGGGGAGAAAAGAAGNCGAAAAAAAAAAAAAAAAAAAAAAAAAAAAAAAAAAAAAGGCAGGGCACGCUCCAACUGCACGGUCACCGGGCCGCUCGGGGUCAAGGCCCUCGGGCUCCAUCCACCUGGACGCGGACGUGGUCAGCACGAGGGCCCAGGUGGCAGCUGAGAGCGCGCGCAGCAGGGACAACGGUCUGAACCGGGGGCUGGGGGCGCGGGUCCCCCAGGGGCCCGUCAAUACACCGCAGCCCCCUGAGCCGGGGCCCAGACACCCCCACCCUGGGGCCGGGAUUCAUUGUUGGCAGGAGGCUCCCAUCGGACGCGGGACCCCCAAGGGGCCGAGCCAGGGCCGAGGGCAAGUCCCUUUUGUAGAACGCCAGGAUCUGCUAUUUCUUCUAAGCUCCCCUCUUGUUGCUGUGAGCAAGUGCCUAGAGACACCUGGCUUAGAGACCUCGGAGAGAGUCCCUCGGAGACUAAUACUGCAACCGAACCAAAGCUGGAGAACCUAAGGAAGAUAAUAAUGCAUUACCGUCAACUAUAUAUUCUUCAAUUUAAGGGACACCUAAGUGGUUCAGUUGAUUGAGCAUCCAGACUCCUGAUUUCAGCUCAGGUCAUGAUCUCGGAGUCGUGGACUCAAGCUCCAUGUCAGGCUCUGGGCUCCACACAGAUUCUGCUUGAGAUUUCCCUCUCUCUCUCUCUCCCUCUGCUCCUCCCUGCCUUCUCAAAUAAAUUAAUUACUUUUUAAUCUUUACA
rnacentral:lncRNA from 1 species